AACGAACGCUGGCGGCAUGCCUAACACAUGCAAGUCGAACGGGAUCCUAGCUUGCUAGGUGAGAGUGGCGGACGGGUGAGUAACACGUGGGAAUCUGCCUUUUGGUUCGGGAUAACCGCGGGAAACUGCGGCUAAUACCGAAUGCCCUCGAGAGAGGAAAGAUUUAUCGCCAGAAGAGGAGCCCGCGUCCGAUUAGGUAGUUGGUGGGGUAAAGGCCUACCAAGCCGACGAUCGGUAGCUGGUCUGAGAGGAUGAUCAGCCACACUGGGACUGAGAUACGGCCCAGACUCCUACGGGAGGCAGCAGUGGGAAUAUUGGACAAUGGGGGCAACCCUGAUCCAGCAAUGCCGCGUGAGUGAUGAAAGGCCUUAGGGUUGUAAAGCUCUUUUGCCCAAGGGGAAGAUGAUGACUGUACCUGGAG
rnacentral:rRNA from 1 species